rnacentral:rRNA from 1 species
CCUACGGGAUGCACCAGUGGGGAAUUUUCCGCAAUGGGCGAAAGCCUGACGGAGCAAUGCCGCGUGGAGGUAGAAGGCCCACGGGUCGUGAACUUCUUCUCCCGGAGAAGAAGCCCCGGCUAACUUCGUGCCAGCAGCCGCGGUAAUACGAAGGGGGCUAGCGUUGUUCGGAAUUACUGGGCGUAAAGCGCGCGUAGGCGGAUAGAUAAGUCAGAGGUGAAAUCCCGGGGCUCAACCCCGGAAUUGCCUUUGAUACUGUUUAUCUUGAGUGCAGAAGAGGUAAGUGGAAUUCCGAGUGUAGAGGUGAAAUUCGUAGAUAUUCGGAGGAACACCAGUGGCGAAGGCGGCUUACUGGUCUGCAACUGACGCUGAGGCGCGAAAGCGUGGGGAGCAAACAGGAUUAGAUACCCCAGUAGUC